ensembl:ncRNA T05A6.9 ncRNA
CCAAAAUUCAAUUUUUACCCGCCAAAAAAAAAGGCGGCGGAAAUUCAAAAAUUGUUUUUGAAAAUGGCGGUUUUGGGCGUCGAUCGUUAGCCAUUGGAAUGAAUAGAACCGGUCGGAUUGCGGGGGGAAUUGAAUGGGAAAAUGGUGGCAAAAGAGA